rnacentral:rRNA from 1 species
AUAGCGUAUAUUAAUGUUGUUGCGGUUAAAAAGCUCGUAGUUGGAUCUCGGUUUCGGGCGAGCGGUGCGCCUUGCGGCGUCUACUGUUUGCCCGGACGAUCUUGCUGGUUCGUUCAUGGUUCUCUUAACCGAGUGCCAUGAGUGGCCAGCACGUUUACUUUGAAAAAAUUGGAGUGCUCAAAGCAGGCGCUACAGCCUGAACAUUAGUGCAUGGAAUAAUGGAAUAGGACCUCGGUUCUAUUUCGUUGGCUUUCGGAGUCGAGGUAAUGAUUAAUAGGGACAGACGGGGGCAUUCGUACUGCGACGUUAGAGGUGAAAUUCUUGGAUCGUCGCAAGACGAACUACUG